rnacentral:misc_RNA from 1 species
AACCAUAGAAACCUGCGGAGUACCUGCGGAAGGAUCAUUACAGAGUUAUCCAACUCCCAAACCCAUGUGAACUUAUCUCUUUGUUGCCUCGGCGCAAGCUACCCGGGACCCCGCGCCCCGGGCGGCCCGCCGGCGGACAAACCAAAACUCUUGUUAUCUUAGUUGAUUCUCUGAGCGUCUUAUUUAAUAAGUCAAAACUUUCAACAAUGGAUCU